CAGCUAUUCAAGGAACCCAGUAAUGCCGUGAUGGUGAUGGUAGGGUUUUCCGAUUCUGCAUGAGAAGUAUAAAGGGAAAUUAUGUAAUUUACCAAGGUUGUCACGUUAAGAUGCUGGACUGGAAAUCUGGAGUCCUGCUUCCUGUGGCUAGAUAAUCCUGGGUCUGUGCGUCUUAUAAAUGGAAAUGAAAGGACCUGCCUUUCCUGUUGAUGAGGUCAUCGGGAAGAUCAAAAGGCAUAUGCAAAACAACCAGAUCCCAGAAGGGAUGAGCUCACCAGUUCAUCAUCCUCUCUUCAGAAAGGAUGUGAAUCUAAAGUGUGGGGAAAAGCCAAGGGAACCGUCACCACAUGGAAACACAAAAGCAGAGGUAUGUGAUAGUCUUUAUGCUAAUAUAACUGGAUGUUAUGCAGCUCAAAAAUAUCAUGUAUCUGCUGAAGGUGAGAAACUUAAUCUGACAAAUCCCAAGUGACACAGUCAAUUCUAGUGCAAAAUGUAGUUUCUUAACCCAAUGCCUCUCCACCCCUACUCAUGCUCCACUUCUUUUCCCUACUUCUAAUUGGGGUCAUCUAACAUCUGUGGAGUCUUACGUACUUUUGUGGUUUCAGUAGAAGGCCAUCUGCCCGGAGUUCCUGCUGGCUCCAGCUGAGGAGUGGCAAAAACCGUCAGAAAAAAAUGUCCAAGACUUGUAAUUAGGUAAAAGAGAUUCCUGGGUGUUGUUUCUGGAGAGUAAGUGCAUUGUCAUUGUCAUGAUGUGUAACUGUUUGACUUUUUACUGAGUAGUCUAUUUUACAACUCUGAAAAGGUCACUUGCAGGAAACUGAAAGUAAUGCAAGUGAUUGCUGUCCAUAACAACAUAAAUGAAUUUUUUCCAAUAGAAAUGUAAUUGAUUUCUGCCCAGUAGAAAAGAUAACUCCAAGCAUUAUGUUUUAUGAACCAAUAGAAAAAUAAUCAUCAAUCUUACAUCUUUUAGCAAAAUCAUUUCAGAAUUCUUGACUGCCUAUGUAUUACUCUUCUUCAAAUUCUCCCCUGAACAGGUCUUAACAUCUUGGUUCCAUCCUUAAUUAAUAAGCUGAAUAAAACUGUAGCAUGUGUUCAUUUUACAUUUGCAAGAGAGUCAUGACUUUAUCUUUAUAAAAUUUAUACAUAGCAGCCCUGUGUGGUCUCAGGGGUCUGUCUCUAUCUUUGCCACAUCUCAUACUGAUGUCCAUAGCUCCUCUAGCUGGUCCUAGCUAGUCCUCUGUUCUAUCACAGGUGAGGCAUGGUACUGGCUCUAGGGUUGCGGUGAGGGAGGAACACUCAGUAUCUUCCCUUGUUUUUGUUCCUCUCCACUCUUACUGGCAUUUUUCAUUCACUUAGAUCUAUUCAGAUCCACCGUCUGUCCCCAGCUUGACUAUCCUAAGACUUUGCUUUGGGGUUCUCUACCCUUCAUCAUGAAGACUGCCUGCCUGGCCUCCUUCUGUAAGUACAUAGCUAUUUCUUUGCCCCAUGGGUAUACAAGAACUUCUAAAAUCUAAUCUACAUCCACAGGUAUUGCAGGGAGUCAAGCUAUCACAGGAAUGGCUAUUUCAAGUCCUCUCUGCCUAAAUAUGCUCCAAUAACAUUGUCUGAGUCUAUUUUGUAUUAUUACAAAAGAAUACCUGAGAGUGGGUAAUUUACAAAUAAAAGAGGUUUGUUUAGCUCACAGUUUUGCAGGCUGAGAAGUUCAAGGGCAUAGUCCUGACUUCUGCGCUGCUUCACAACAUGGUGGAGAAGGUCAAAGGAGAGGCAGACAUGGGUGAAGAGGGGAAAACCUGAGGAGCAUCCUGGCUUUAUAACAACUCACUCUUGCGAGAACUAAUCCACUCCUGCAAGAAGUAGUUUCGUCUCACUAGAGCAAGAACUGACUUAUACAUGAAAACAACAGUAAGACAUUCAUGAGAGAUCUGCUUCCAUAACUUAAACACCUCCCACUAAGCUCCACCUGCCAACACUGCCACAUUGGGGAUCAAAUUUCAACAUGAGUUUGGGUGGGACAAACCAACCACAUCCAAACCAUAGCAACCAUAUUUAUGCUAUUGCUUCCAUGCUGGGUAUGCCUAGGAACACUCUGCAAAGCCUUUUCUUUGCAGAAUUCUA